rnacentral:lncRNA from 1 species
UUGGCAGUUGAGAUUCAGACCUUGACAGUUGUAACCGAUAGACUGGGCUGGGGCAAUGCUGAUGAAAGGCAAAUUCCUGAGAGAAAAAUCACCCAGAUUUUUCAGUGCCUUCUCUAGCUUUCUGGAAGUUGUUAUGAGUGGACCUGACUACCUAGAGAGAGUAAUACAGAAGCUCCCUGCCGAUCACAGCUACCUCAUUACCAUGUUCCUCCAAGAUGGCCGCCCCUGAGGAGAAUCAUCAACUGGGCUUUACGGAAGAGAGAAAUCCAAACGACCAUCAGCAACAAAUGAAAGACUGAAGUUGAAAGGAAAUCCAUAAUUUUUGAAUGCUGGCUGAGGUCUGUGACCUCUGACUGAAUGGUUUCCAAGCUCCGAAUUCCUAGGUGAUGUUUUCAUUUGUUCACAGUUGCUGAAGAAGGGAAAGGCUCUCUGAUUUACGUGUAAGCAAAACAAUCUAAACAGUAGGAUAAAAUCAUGUUGGAAUGGAGUUCUGUGUGGAUGCUCCUUUGAACCAAAUCAGUUCCACAACUGACCCUGUCAGGGACAUAUAAAUUUAGCAUUUUGGUGUGGAUACAGAAGACGAGAUUAACACAGAUCAAGUAACAUGGAAAUAAAAAAGGAGACAAUGCUGGAUGAUACAGGGGCAGCAACAAGAGGAGAAAACCCAAGCAUUGGCAAAUGCCUCAUUAUCCAAAGAACACU